UUUGCAUUUGUGAGGACAGAAGCAUAAACUAUGACCUAGGGGCUUCUGUGUGAUGCUAGCAAA
rfam:Tinamus guttatus contig37960, whole genome shotgun sequence.